rnacentral:piRNA from 1 species
UGAUGUGUUUUCUCGAGAUGUGUAUGGAAA